AAAUUGAAUCAUCGGAGAAGCGAUGAGCGUUGUAAACGGAGGCACUCCAACGCAGUCUGCAAAUCCGAACAUGGGAAGAGAAAUGCCGAAGGUGGUGGUGAUUAUGGGGCCGACUGGUUCUGGGAAGUCUCGUCUCGCUAUUGACUUGGCUUCACUCUUCCCCGUCGAGAUCAUCAACGCCGACUCUAUGCAGGUUUAUCGAGGAUUGGACGUUCUCACAAACAAAGUUCCUCCCGAAGAUCAAAAUGGAGUCCCGCAUCAUCUUUUAGGUACAGUGAGUCCAGACGUUGAAUUCACGGCUAAAGACUUCCGAGAUUCUGCCGUUCCUGUUAUCGAUGACAUAAUUUCUCGUGGAUGCUUGCCAAUGAUAGUGGGUGGAACGAAUUAUUAUAUACAGGCCCUUGUUAGCCCGUUUCUUCUGGAUGAUUCUACAGAAAAUAUUAGCGGAAGUUGCUCCAUUUAUCACGGAGAUGAAGAGCUGGGUAUUGAGUUGGAUGAGGGAAGAGAUGAUUUGAAGUAUGACCAUAACCAUCUUAAAAAGAUUGAUCCAGUUUCAGCUAACAGAAUCCAUCCUAAUAACCACAGAAAAAUAAAUCAAUACCUGAGUUUGUAUUACCGCACUGGCGUUCUUCCCAGUAUACUUUUUCAAGGAAAGGCUGCUGAGAAUUGGGGUCAAGCUGAUAAUUUCAGAUACAAUUGCUGCUUGAUAUGUGUCGAUGCUUCUGUUCCACAACUUGAUGGACAUGUUAAUUCUAGAGUUGACAGCAUGAUGACUGCUGGAUUACUUGAUGAGGUCUAUGACAUUUACAAUCCAAAUGCAAACUAUACUAGAGGAUUACGUCAAGCUAUUGGUGUUCGGGAGUUUGAGGAGUUUCUGAGAUAUCAUGUACCCAAAGGUAGAUGCGAAGAUGAUAGUGCUGGGUUUAGUCCAAAAAAUUUGAUGGAGUGCAAUGAGAUUUUGAAAGAGAAUAUGAGGUCAAUCCCAAAUUCACCAAGUGAUGGCCAACCCAGUUUGCUACUGAAAGAAGCUAUAGAUAAUGUAAAGUUGAAUACUAGAAGACUGGUUCGUCGUCAGAGGAGGCAGCUAAGGAGGCUGGAGACUUUGUUUGGAUGGAAGAUCCACUAUGUUGAUUCCACGGAAUAUAUAACAUCCAAAGUGGAGGAUUCGUGGACUGCACAAGUCGUUGAACCUGCAGUCCACAUAAUUAGGUCUUUCCUUAAAGAUGGUUGUUCAGCGACUGAGACAAUGAACCCGCAUAACUCAGGGCAAACAAUCAAGAAGGACGUGUGGACACAGUAUAUAUGCCAGGCUUGUGGGAAUAAAGUAUUAAGAGGAGCACAUGAAUGGGAACAACACAAUCAAGGUCGCACGCAUCGGAAACGAAUGUAUCGGCUUAAGAAGAAGUGUGAAGCGCUUUCCUUGCUGCAACAGAAACUAUCUCCUCAAGAGUAGCUCUUAUGGCUUGCAGUUUUGGCAAGACUGGAUGAUAUUGGUGGAGCGAUUGUUGUUGGAGCCAGUUUACACUAACAAUAAUCUGAUUCUACUCCUUUUUAAAGCAAAAAAUGAUGAUGCUCAUUUGAUUGGUGACAAGAUAGCAGAGAUCUAUUCACUUGGGCGGAUUAGACAUUGAGGCAUAUAGUAGAGAAACAUUGAACUAUUUUUAGUUGGCACAUAGUUAUUUGAAGCAUAAAAGGAGCGCCCACUUGGAGACUUGGGAUCUCAACAGGAAAUGCAAAGGUUGCAACAAUGAAAGUCGGCCGGGCUUUAAGUUCUUAGGAAGAGCUAUACGAGGCAACUCACGUACGGUUUGGGAGUCGAGCCCCAGCACAAGGACUUAGAUCAACACUUAUUUAAUAGCCGUCAUCAAUUGGAAGCGAACAAGAUGGUGAUGGAUUGUGAUUGGUCAAAACCUAUUGCGACCCAUCCAGAAUGGCCAUACGUACUAAGACCUUAUUCACACAGCGAAGAGAGGCCGAAUUUCCAUUUUAUAUAUUUGCGUGAAAUAAAAAGUUGGCUUGGCUGGUUGGUAGUGAGGCAUGCUCAAGCCUCAUCCAUGGGCUAAACUUUUGUCUUGGGUUCAAUUGACAAAAGUUCAAUUCCUAGGGCUACAAGUUCAUUUUAUUAUUAUUAUUAUUUUUAUAUUUUAUUCUUUUCUA